CAAGCAAAUCAAGUGGUUGCCCCUCGCAUAGUCUUCGCUUCUUCAGUCAAAUAAAUGAUUCAACCAGUAAAAAAUAUUGGAUAGCAGAGACUAUGCGAGGGGAGGAAAGUCCGGACACCCUCCGAUCCAAAAUCGGAGUCAUGGCAGUCGUAAAAGCGACCGAGUAUAAGAAGUACGAUAAAAGAUAUACGAUCGUAAUUUUUUAUCGGACAACUUUAAAACCCAGGGAAAGUGCCACAGAAAAUAUACCGCCCUUCACAUAUUUUUCUUUUUUGUUUUACAGAAUCUCAAUUAUCAAGAAGAAAAAUACGUGAAGGGUAAGGGUGAAAAUGCGUUCCGUUGUAAAAUGCGGAAUCUUGAGCUUUUGUCUCAAGAGGGUAAAAGCCCACACAUCUCUAUGGCGACAUAGAAAUGCGGAAAACCCUGCCUGGUGCAAGAGCUCAAAGACAGCUCGCUAAGAUAGAUGACCACACUAUCGCGCUACGGCGCAAAAUAGAACAGAAUCCGGCUUAUGAUUUGCUUGGAUU
rnacentral:RNase_P_RNA from 3 species